AGUGAACGCUGGCGGUAGGCCUAACACAUGCAAGUCGAACGGCAGCACAGUAAGAGCUUGCUCUUACGGGUGGCGAGUGGCGGACGGGUGAGGAAUACAUCGGAAUCUACUUUUUCGUGGGGGAUAACGUAGGGAAACUUACGCUAAUACCGCAUACGACCUACGGGUGAAAGCAGGGGAUCUUCGGACCUUGCGCGAUUGAAUGAGCCGAUGUCGGAUUAGCUAGUUGGCGGGGUAAAGGCCCACCAAGGCGACGAUCCGUAGCUGGUCUGAGAGGAUGAUCAGCCACACUGGAACUGAGACACGGUCCAGACUCCCACGGGAGGGAGCAGUGGGGAAUAUUGGACAAUGGGCGCAAGCCUGAUCCAGCCAUACCGCGUGGGUGAAGAAGGCCUUCGGGUUGUAAAGCCCUUUUGUUGGGAAAGAAAAGCAGCAGGUUAAUACCCCGCUGUUCUGACGGUACCCAAAGAAUAAGCACCGGCUAACUUCGUG
rnacentral:rRNA from 1 species